UGUGUCGUAUGUGUGAGGUGAGUGCGUGAAUGCUUGUGUGCGUGAAUGUUUGUCUUUUUUGUGUUAAAAAAAAAAAAAAUCUACACCGUGAUCUUAUUUGAUCGGAUCCUAGUUGCCCUGCUCGGAUUUAGAGAUGAUAAUAACCGACUCGUGAGCUUUGUUGCGAUGAUCGAUAGGCAUUUUCACAACUCGGGGCAGCCACGGUUUAGGCUGUGGUCAGAAAUGAUGAAUCGAUCAGAUAUACUAGAGCAGACGGAUUACUGGGUCUCGACCCAGUGUUUCUCUGUUUGCUCCGUGAGUAUUACGGCGAUUCUGAUCUCA